rnacentral:rRNA from 1 species
AGUGAACGCUGGCGGCGUGCUUAACACAUGCAAGUCGAACGAGAACGGAAUAUAGCUUGCUAUAUUUGUCAGCUAAGUGGCGCACGGGUGAGUAAUGUAUAGAUAACCUGCCCUUAAGAAAGGAAUAACAGUUGGAAACGACUGCUAAUGCCCUAUAUGCCUUUAAUACAUAAGUAUGCAAGGGAAACGCUUUAGUGCUUAAGGAUGGGUCUGUAUGGUAUCAGCUUGUUGGUGAGGUAAUGGCUCAUCAAGGCUAUGACGCCUAACUGGUUUGAGAGGAUGAUCAGUCACACUGGAACUGAGACACGGUCCAGACUCCUACGGGAGGCAGCAGUGGGGAAUAUUGCACAAUGGACGAAAGUCUGAUGCAGCAACGCCGCGUGGAGGAUGACACAUUUCGGUGCGUAAACUCCUUUUAUAUAGGAAGAUAAUGACGGUACUAUAUGAAUAAGCACCGGCCAACUCCGUGCCAGCCGCCGCGGUAA